CGGACGGGUGAGUAACACGUAAGGAACCUACCGAUAAGCGGGGGACAACAUCCGGAAACGGGUGCUAAUACCGCAUAGGAAGUUUGUUCGCAUUAACAAACUUAGAAAGAUGGCUCUGCUAUCACUUAUCGAUGGCCUUGCGGUGCAUUAACUAGUUGGCGAGGUAACGGCUCACCAAGGUGAUGAUGCAUAGCCGACCUGAGAGGGUAAUCGGCCACAUUGGGACUGAGACACGGCCCAAACUCCUACGGGAGGCAGCAGGC
rnacentral:rRNA from 1 species